UGGGGAAUAUUGCGCAAUGGGGGAAACCCUGACGCAGCGACGCCGUGUGAGGGAAGAAGGCUUUCGGGUCGUAAACCUCUGUNCGGGAAGGAAGAACCCCCUGGGUCCCAAUAGGGCUCGAGGCUNGACGGUACUUCCAAAGGAAGCACCGGCUAACUCCGUGCCAGCAGCCGCGGUAAUACGGAGGGUGCAAGCGUUAAUCGGAAUCACUGGGCGUAAAGCGCGCGUAGGCGGCCUUUUAAGUCGGACGUGAAAGCCCUCGGCUCAACCGGGGAAUUGCGUUCGAUACUGGGAGGCUUGAGUCCUGGAGAGGGUGGCGGAAUUCCGGGUGUAGGAGUGAAAUCCGUAGAUAUCCGGAGGAACACCGGUGGCGAAGGCGGCCACCUGGACAGGUACUGACGC
rnacentral:rRNA from 1 species